AAGGGCAGACGCCGGCCGUCUGGCCUCCCUUGCAGUUCCCGGAUGACUUCCCGGUUGCUGUAUUCCUCGUGGUCUCCACCAGCAGUGCUGGCCUGGCUUAGUAUGCUGCCCUGUCGCUGCAGUCUCCGUGGCCGCCCCAGGGUGAUUCGCUUGAAAAAGGAGGCAUUGCGGAAGGAGCCUUUCCGCCAAGUCUCCAUGGAGCUCCUGAGAGUCAUCUAGUGGGUCUGGCAUCUGAGAAGCCCCACGAAGGGGCUCAGCAGCAGCAGGUGACCUUUUUGCUAGAGUGCUGAAUGCCAGGAACCAGAGGGACACCCUUCAAGGGCUAGCAGCAGAGGCUGUGCGUUUCUGCUCAAGGUGGUUCUUCGUUUGCCUCUUGGGUGGUGAGAGAAGACUAGCAGGAGGGAGGUUUUGUCUAGGAGAUGAGAGAGAAAGCUGUGAGCCUGCUUACUUGAUUGGCGGCAUGUGGAUAACCCCAAAGGAAGCAGCAGUACUCACAGGGCAGAACGGGCAGAACAGGAGCAGAGCAAGGCUGAGGGCUGAUGGGCAGGGCUGGAACAUGGGCAGGGGAGCGAGUACUCCUUCCACAGGCAGGCAGCAGCUGGGCCCCUGUUGACCCUCUCUCUGGUGGUCCCUGGGCAUGUGCCGAUCUCCUGGCCAGGGUAGGGCUGUGCUCUCUCUGCCAGCAUCUGGGGACUCUGAUUAGUGGCUUGGCUGUUUGUGCCAGCGUGUGGUAGAGAUGUGUUUUGUUUUCAGCUGACUCAGUCAGGUGGGAAGCCGGUUUCGAGCUCUGAGGUAAUUGCAGCAUCCACAGGCUGGGAUUGGGGCAGCUGUGACCAACACCCCAGGGCAGUAGGACGCUUCAGAUUCCUCUGGGGACAGGUCUGGGGACAGCCCUGCUUGGUGUGUCACCAGGUUACUUCCUUUCUAGUCAGUGCUCCGCCACUGUGACCUCAGCAGGCCUGCCUGGCUCCCUAGCCCCAGAUGUCUCUGGGAGGAGCCCAGGGAGGUAGUGCUAAUUGAAAGGCAACUUUUAGAACAAUUGUUAGGGAAGAAAGAGAGGAGACCUGCUGGUGUGGGUGACUCAGCCCCCUGGGCAGGAUGAUAGGCCCUCAUUAGCCAGGCCACAGGAAUGGUGGAGAAGGAUGUGGAGGGCGUGCUAACGGGGAACAGCCCCAUGCCUGUACAGGGCUUGCUCCUCCCAAGGGCUCAGUGCUGUCAGAAAGGGACUAUGAGAGUCUUGUCAUGAUGCGCAUGCGCCAGGCAGCUGAGCGCCAGCAGCUGAUCGCCCAGAUGCAGCAGGAAGACGAGGGGCAGCCCACGUAAUCCCACUCCAGCCUUCCCACCCCAUACCCUUUCUGAAUAAUCACCAAUAAACUUUUUUAAAAAACA